CCUCAGUAUGCUCCAACAAAAAGUGUAUUACACCACAAAAACCUCAGAGAAAUAUGGACACACAGAGAAUGAUAUUCUGUCUGCUUGUGGCAGCUAUUAUCAGCCCUGUGUUUACUGAAGAAUGGAGGGCCAGUGUUGUAAAAGAACUUGACGCCCUGGUCACAUCCUGUGUUGUGGUACCCUGUUCAUUCACCCAUCCUAAAGACUCUCUGAUCCUGCCCACCUCCAGACUCAGAGGGAUCUGGCAUCGUUCAACUGAUAGAAACCAACGCAUCUACUACGAGGAUAGCAUGCAGGUCUUGGAAAACUUUAGGGGCCGCACAAAGUUGUUGGGACAUCUGGGUCAGAACAACUGCUCUUUAGAAAUGGCUAACAUAAAAAGACACAUAAAAACCUACUUUACGGCUUUAUGAAGUUAUUUUGGCCCUUCCCGAUUGCUUUUUUACCCAUAGUGGCAUAGCUCUGCCUGUCCACCACUUUGGUCAAGACUGAAAUAGUUCAAUAACUAGUGGAUGGAUUGCCAUGACAUUUUGUAAUCAACAUUGGUGGUACCCAGAGGAUACAUCCAUGACUUUGUUGAUCCCCUGACUUUUCCUCUAGUACCCACAAGUUAUUUUGGCCCUUCCCGAUUGCUUUUUUACCCAUAGUGGCAUAGCUCUGCCUGUCCACCACUUUGGUCAAGACUGAAAUAGUUCAAUAACUAGUGGAUGGAUUGCCAUGACAUUUUGUAAUCAACAUUGGUGGUACCCAGAGGAUACAUCCAUGACUUUGUUGAUCCCCUGACUUUUCCUCUAGUACCCACAUGAGGUGGACAUUUGAAUUUUGCAUAUACUUUGUAAAAGAGUAGGCUACAAAA